UCGGGCGUGGAUAAUAAUCGGGUAUUAAGUUGUCUACCGAAGCAGUGGGAUCAUUAAUAUGAUCGGUAGGGGAGCAUUCCAGUCAGCGUCGAAGGCGUACCGUGAGGUAUUCUGGAGCGUCUGGAAAAGCAAAUGUAGGUAUAAGUAACGAUAAAGGGGGCGGGAAACCCCCUCGCCGAAAGACUAAGGUUUCCUGAUCAACGCUAAUCGGAUCAGGGUCAGUCGGGUCCUAAGGCUCAGCCGAACGGCGAUGCCGAUGGCAGAAACGGUUAAUAUUCCGUUACUACCUUCAGGAGUGACGUGGAGACGCAGUAGUGACAGUGCCGCCAUCUGACGGAAUAGAUGGUUGAAGGGUGUAGGAGUCGAUCAUGGCAGGCAAAUCCACCAUGAGAUCCGAACCUGAUAGUAUGCCGCGUCCUUCGGGACAAGGCAAUAGUGCGCGUAAGCAUGCUGCCGAGAAAAUCCGCUAAACUUAAUCCUGCAGGUACCCGUACCGCAAACGGACACACGUAGUCGGGAUGAAUAUUCUAAGGCGCUUGAGUGAUUCACGGUUAAGGAACUAGGCAAACUGACCCUGUAACUUCGGGAUAAAGGGUCCCUACCCUUUUAUGGGAGGGCGCAGAGAAUCGGUCCAGGCAACUGUUUAACAAAAACACAGGGCUGUGCCAAAUCGAAAGAUCCAGUAUACAGCCUGACACCUGCCCGGUGCUGGAAGGUUAAGAGGAGAUGUCAUCGAUAAGAGAAGCGUUGAAUUGAAGCCCCAGUAAACGGCGGCCGUAACUAUAACGGUCCUAAGGUAGCGAAAUUCCUUGUCGGGUAAGUUCCGACCUGCACGAAUGGUGUAAUGAUCUGGACGCUGUCUCAACCGUGAGCUCAGUGAAAUUGUAGUAUCGGUGAAGAUGCCGAUUACCCGCGAUGGGACGAAAAGACCCCGUGAACCUUUACUAUAGCUUAUCAUUGAAUCUGGGCACGUGAUGUGUAGGAUAGGUCGGAGGCUUUGAAGCAGGUACGCCAGUAUUUGUGGAGCCGCUGUUGAAAUACGACCCUUUAUUUGUUUGGAUUCUAACCCGUGGAACGGGGACAUUGAUUGGUGGGUAGUUUGACUGGGGUGGUCGCCUCCAAAAGCGUAACGGAGGCUUCUAAAGGUGCCCUCCGGCCGAUUGGUAACCGGCCUUAGAGUGUAAUGGCAUAAGGGCGCUUGACUGGGAGACUGACAAGUCGAUCAGGUAGGAAACUAGAGCAUAGUGAUCCGGUGUUUCCGUAUGGA
rnacentral:rRNA from 1 species